UACGUAGGGUGCAAGCGUUGUCCGGAAUUAUUGGGCGUAAAGAGCUCGUAGGCGGUUUGUCGCGUCUGCUGUGAAAACUCGGGGCUUAACCCCGGGCCUGCAGUGGGUACGGGCAGACUAGAGUUCGGUAGGGGAGACUGGAAUUCCUGGUGUAGCGGUGAAAUGCGCAGAUAUCAGGAGGAACACCGGUGGCGAAGGCGGGUCUCUGGGCCGUAACUGACGCUGAGGAGCGAAAGCGUGGGGAGCGAACAGG
rnacentral:rRNA from 1 species